rnacentral:rRNA from 1 species
UACAGAGGGGGCAAGCGUUGUUCGGAAUUACUGGGCGUAAAGGGCGCGUAGGCGCCUUCUAAGUCGAACGUGAAAUCCCCGGGCUCAACCCGGGAACUGCGUCCGAUACUGGAAGGCUUGAAUCCGGGAGAGGGAUGCGGAAUUCCAGGUGUAGCGGUGAAAUGCGUAGAUAUCUGGAGGAACACCGGUGGCGAAGGCGGCAUCCUGGGACCGGCAUG